AAUGAACGCUGGCGGCAGGCCUAACACAUGCAAGUCGAGCGGAGCGGCCGACGGGCGAGUAAUGCCUAGGCAUCUGACCGGUCGAGGAGGAUAAGGUCCGGAAACGGGAGCUAUGACCACAUAGUAUCAGAGGAGCCUAGGUCGGUUUAGCUAGUUGGUGGGGUAAAGGCCUACCAGGGCGACGAUCCGUAACUGGUCUGAGAGGAUGAUCAGUCACACUGGAACUGAGACACGGUCCAUACUCCGACGGGAGGCAGCAGUGGGGAAUAUUGGGCAAUGGGCGAAAGCCUGAUCCAGCCAUGCCGCGUGUGUGAAGAAGGUCUUCGGAUUGUAAAGCUCUUUAAGUUGGGAGGCGUUACCAACAGAAUAAGCACCGGCUAACUUCGUGCCAGCAGCCGCGGUAAUUC
rnacentral:rRNA from 1 species